CAUGAGUCAAAGAAGAAACCGCAGCUUCAAAAACAAGCCUAAUAGACUUAUAGCGUGUUUAUUACGGUCAAUGAAUGAGACUGCAACAGUCUGAAGCUCAACAAUCAAAGAUUUAUUUUGCAAAAAUAAUCAAACGUCAACAACGCUCAUCCACUCAUCUCUGACCACCUGCGAGCAAAAUAUGAGAGAUGGAAAAAGAGGGGAUUCUCACUACGUAGUUUGCUAUGUCACCAUUCAUUAGCUUAUUACACUCAUAUGUAUCGAUAAUAUUCAAUAAUUAUACUAAAUUGAUGCUAGUUUACAUUGUAAUGUAUAUUACUGCCUUUCUUAUAUAAUCAAUAAUAGGCUAAUACCCAGAUUGUUGCUAGUUUACAGUACACUCUUUUAAACUGCUGCUGGUGUGCACUGUUAUGUUAAGUGUUUCUUUAUUUUAUUUUUGUCUGGCUCUAUUUUUGCUUAUACAUUCCCCACUCUCACUACGUAGUUGUCGGGUGCCAUGACACAAUAAUUUAAUUGCUCAGGAUGACGCUGUGUUGCUCGGUCCAUUUGACAAAUAAACGUUGAAACUUGUAACAUCGCUUGGAAUUCUAACUAGAUUUUUCAACAAUGGGAGGGAGGUGGGGGUGGGAAAGAUCCACGUGGGGAUACUACAGCACUACAUUGCUGUGAGGCUGUGAGCAGACAGUGUCAAUCAAUGCAUUUAGGGAAAGUAGCGACCAUAAAUGUACAGAAACGAUGUCGCUUGUCAGAUUUUCCUAACAAGCGACCAAACAUUUUAAAACAAUCCCCAAAAAACCGAGACCAGUAAUUAUUUCAAGCUCUUCUCCCUUAAUUCCACUGCAGUGUAUGUGGUUAUUGCCAUCGUGUGUCGAAUACAGACAAUAAAAGCGACAUACGAGAAAAAAAAGAAAAAAAACAGUAUUUACACACAGUAUGAACGUAUUAGGGAAUCGCAUACUCAAUGGAAUCCAUUACACCUGAUGCGCAGGGUUGAGCCGAUUAUGACGUAAGCGUCGUUCUCCAUUCAGUUAAAGCGGUUGCAUUGACGCAACAAUGUAAAAGACCUGUAAAAGCAAGUGCUUUCAGCAGAGCGGUUCAUAACCAAACUGAACAAUCAUCUGAGCAAAACUACCUACUUUAAGACUGUAAGACUGGAUCAGGUCUGGCUGUCUUUGCCUUGGUGUUGCUAGAAGGCAGUGUUCUAACCAUCGCUGAUACACAAGACCAGUUCAGCUUCUUCCUGGGGUUCCCCUGUGAUAACAUGCAGCCUGGACUGUCAACCAGGUGGGUCUGCGUCAUCCAACUAAAUAUCUCUGUCUAACACUUUGUCUGACAACCCUGUUUCCCUCCCACAGGGCCAUCCAGGACUGCCUGGUAAAUGGACGUAUCAUUAGUGCCUCAAGAGUUUGCUGUCUGUGUGCGUUGCCUCUGACCCCUGAAAUCUACAAUGCAACGUUUUACACUACCAACUUAAAGACUGGGUCUGGUCUGGAGGGUCAUCUCAUGUACGAGUUGACCUUCCAGACCCUGGUAAGUAGAAGACCACUCUGAUCCUGUGUUUUCUUCAGCACAUAGUCUAAUAGCUCAUAAUGUCUAGAAGUAAAAGGCUUCUUGCUGUUGGGUAUUAUACCAGAUCUUCAGAUGAAGAGUUCAUUGGCCAUUGGCAGACAUGCUGGCUGACUUUGCCUUGGUGUUGCUAGAAGGCAGUGUUCUAACCAUCGCUGAUACACAAGACCAGUUCAGCUUCUUCCUGGGGUUCCCCUGUGAUAACAUGCAGCCUGGACUGUCAACCAGGUGGGUCUGCGUCAUCCAACUAAAUAUCUCUGUCUAACACUUUGUCUGACAACCCUGUUUCCCUCCCACAGGGCCAUCCAGGACUGCCUGGUAAAUGGACGUAUCAUUAGUGCCUCAAGAGUUUGCUGUCUGUGUGCGUUGCCUCUGACCCCUGAAAUCUACAAUGCAACGUUUUACACUACCAACUUAAAGACUGGGUCUGGUCUGGAGGGUCAUCUCAUGUUCGAGUUGACCUUCCAGACCCUGGUAAGUAGAAGACCACUCUGAUCCUGUGUUUUCUUCAGCACAUAGUCUAAUAGCUCAGUUAGGUAUUUUCAGUUAAUUAACGGGAAGGGAAAAUGUCUAAAAGUCGCUGCAAAGACCCAAUUGCCACAGUGGGACAUAUUUUGUUCUCUGAGUAAUAUGGACCCAACCUAAAAUCGGUUUACCUUCAGCCUGACAUUUGAAGUCGAUCCAUCCCCGUUUCUCUUUCAGUAAUGUCCGGAAGUAAAAGGCUUCUUGCUUUUGGGUAUUAUACCAGAUCUUCUGUGUCAUCCCUUCUGCUAAGUCCUGCUAAUGUAUGUGUUCUCGGAGUGUUGUGUAGCUGCAGCAACAGGUGACCACCAUUCUUAACCAGCUUCCUCCUGCUCCCAGACCAGCGAGACCCACACCUGACCCACACAUACCAAGAGGCCAUGGACAAACUGAUAAAGGGUGUGCCUAAUGUCAGAGAGGAACCCUGCUCGGAACACUAAAUCAAACCCUGACAACCUAUAGGACACACUGGAGACAUGCAUGUGUGUGUGUGUAUAUAUAUAUAUAUAUAUAUAUGUGUGUGUAAACUUGUGAGCACCAUGACCAAUCAGCAAAAAAAAGAUACUGGGACAUUUUGGCGGUCCUAUUCUGCAAUUUGGAAACGUCAAUGAUAAUGUGUGUAGACCAAAAUAUCUGAAAAAUAUUUAUGUAAUUUAGAUGAAAUUGGGAAAAAAAUUAUGUUAUUUGGCAUAAGAUUAUUCUUAAAAAUUCUUAUCCGGCACAGCCAGAAGAGGACUGGCCCCUCAGAGUCUGGUUCCUCUCUAGGUUUCUUCCAAGGUUUUUGACCCUACUUGGGAGUUUUUCCUAGCCACUGUGCAUCAAUGUAUUGUUCUUGCUUGCUCUUUGGGGUUUCUAGGCUGGGAAUCUGUGCAUUUUGUGAGAACAGACAAUAUAAAAAUGGCUUUAUAAAAUAAAAUGUGUUCAUUGCUUACAUCAGAUGUGGUUUUGCCUUCAUUAAAAAUCUUUAUAGUGGAAAUGGGUGUGAUUUGUCUUGGUUGUGCUCUUUUGCAGAAUAAUAACAGACCCAAGUCAGGGGGAGAAGCUUUCAUUCACAAAAUAUAGUACACGUCAGCCUUCUUUCCAUCUCUUUCUUGGCCUUUCCAGCUGUCUUUGUGCUUCCCCAAAUAUCUCUGUCUUAAACAGCAUAUUUAUUCUUGACUGGACCUUCAACACAUCCCAUGCACUAUCUGGCUGUCUUCCAAUCAUAUACGUGUAUUCUAAAUCUUAUCCUUGUAGGGCCUGGUAUAGUGUCCCAUCUUGAGAUCUUGGCUCCACACAUUCCCACUUAGCAGGUUGUAUGGGAGCCUCUUCAACUGUUUGUGAUACGGUACUUCAUACAGCACAAGAUAACGAAGUACCAAUCCUCGGUUUUGUGUUUCUAAACAAGAGAAUAGAACCAAAAUAAAUGUAUAUAAUAAAUGUAUAAAGACAUGCUUUCUCACAAUUCCCCCCAUGACUUUAAAAUACCACAUUUAUAUGUCAGAACAACUAGUCUAUAUAGCAUAUCAGCACUACCCAUGUAAUAAUAAGAAAAUUAAAAACAGUUACAAAUAAUAAAGCAAGCUCAUUCAUCUCACCACAAGUGUGAGAGGUACAGUUGUGGUUACUAUGCAUGCAUAUUCAAAUGAAUGACAGACAGUGGUAUUCAAAUUUGGCAUGGCCUUUGCUCUGGAAUGUGCCGUGGGAGCAUGCGCCUUACCUUGAGCGACAGACCCCUGCCAAUAGCACACUUGACAAGUUGUACCAAGAUAAAAAAGAUCAACACUACAACCACCGCUGGCAUAAUCAUGUUCAGCAGAGAACCUCCCAAUUUACAAAAAAUAGAUGACAACCAUGUAGAAAAACCUACAUCAAUCAUCAGGAUUGUGAUUAUGGUAUUUGGCACCUUCCUCACGGAUCUUACCAGCCAAAUCAGUCAGUUCUUCAGAGUUAUCAGGUAUGUACGUACAACACUAAAUUCCAAUAACUGCACAGGUUCCCCCUGAGCAGACAAUAUGUAGUCAAGAGCAAGUCUAUUUUGCAUUGCAACAGUACGAAGGGCAACCAUUGCAGCUGACUGUAAUUUCAGACUUUCAGAGGUCAUGUUAGCGAAAGCCUCCAAAGAGCUAGCCACACUAAUAACUUCUCCUGCCAACAUGGCAGUGCCAUAGGGAGGGAAUGCAAUAGCAAAAACCUGUUCCGUUUCAGUGAUGGCUCGUGUAUGUCGUGUUUUAAAGGGAGAAUAUGUACUCAGUCUCACAUGUGGAAUUACAUAACUCAAAUAACAUGAUCCUCGCCAUAAAGGUGGGAGCCAUGGAUAGGCAUUGGGGCUGCAAAUGAAGUGAGUUCCGUUAGGAGCAAUCAUGCCCGUAGUUAUUAAGUUAGCUAUGGUGUUGGCAUAAAAUACAGUUGCAGUCCCAUUAUUGAGGGUUAUAUUGGCAUACAUAAAACACUCAGGGUCUGCUGUUUUGGUUGCAAUACAAACCAAAAGCAUCAGAAUAUUGUUCCGUUAGACUUUUGGAUUGUUCUUGCUGUAUACACAACCAUCCCCUAGGCUGAUUAGUAACUACUAUAUGUGGUGGACGACGCCAGAAAUCAGGGCUGUUCCUAUUAAAGGCUGGCAUAUAACUAUGACGCCAUGAUUUCACAGGCACACCUAAAGAUGUUACAUGAUCCUGGACAGUAAUACAUCCAGAUUGAUUAGGUUCCCUUCAACAGGGGUCAGACGCAUUUGGUCCACGAGAGUGCAAGUAGCUAUCAUUAACACCCCAAUUUUUGUAUAUAGAAAAUUUGAACCAACUGAGGUCUUUCCAGAUCCCUAACAUCUCAGACUGAUUGAAUGGAAUGACUCCCUAACAUCUCAGACUGAUUGAAUGGAAUGACUCUCUAACAUCUCAGACUGAUUGAAUGGAAUAACUCCUAAGGGAAUACCUCCGUUAGCGGUGAAAAGGCUGUGGGUACAAAUCCAACAACUACUCUGGUUAACCGUCCUGGCAAAUUGUAGGGAGAGGGCCAAACAUGUAUUAAUACCAUGAUGACCAUCCUCGUGAGUAUGGUGUCUAUGUUUGGGACUAGAGCACCACCACUCUGUACCACCAGGAAACACACAGAAACAAUUACCAUGAACAGAAUGAUCUACAAAUGGAAAAUAUGUAUGACAGCUAGCUGAUUGAGAAAGAUAUUGGUUAAAGCCCUGAACUACCCAAUUUACUAUUCAAGGGCUAAACGUUUUUAAAUCUUCAUUUGUGAUUGUUGAUUUCUUUCUUUGGCAAUGUUAAUCUAAUAAGAUCAGGUGUGUAAGCAGUUGAGUAUUUCAAAUACAUGGAAUAACUGGGGGUUCCAGAGGAGUUUUCAUAACCACUGCAAAAAUCCUCACACCAUGAAAUCUCUAGUCCAGAAUCCAAACCAGUAAAUCUACAGUAUAUCGCCUGUGGUAGUAACUACAUGAACAUCUUUUAAGAAUGAACAUUUUAUUUCUUGUUGAUUUUCUUUAAGUCCUAGACACAUGAUGGUGCAGAUGGAAAAACUCUAGAUACCUUGAGGGAACAGAGGACCAGACUACUUUCAGGGCAUGUCCUCCUGAGUCAGUUUACUGCUCCCAGUACCUCUACAGUUCCAGCCUAUCUCAUACAGUCUGAAAAACAACCAUG
ensembl:lncRNA